rnacentral:rRNA from 1 species
GACAGAGGUGCCAAGCGUUAGGCGGAAUCACUGGGCUUAAAGCGUGUGUAGGUGGAUAUCUAAGUGCUUUGUGAAAUCCCACGGCUCAACCGUGGAAUGGCUUGGCAUACUGGAUAUCUUGAGCCAUCUAGGGGCAACUGGAACAAACGGUGGAGCGGUGAAAUGCGUAGAUAUCGUUUGGAACGCCAAUGGUGAAAACAGGUUGCUGGGGAUGUGCUGACACUGAGACACGAAAGCCAGGGGAGCAAACGGGG